AAUGAACGCUGGCGGCAGGCCUAACACAUGCAAGUCGAACGGUAACAGGAAGAAGCUUGCUUCUUUGCUGACGAGUGGCGGACGGGUGAGUAAUGUCUGGGAAACUGCCUGAUGGAGGGGGAUAACUACUGGAAACGGUAGCUAAUACCGCAUAACGUCGCAAGACCAAAGAGGGGGACCUUCGGGCCUCUUGCCAUCGGAUGUGCCCAGAUGGGAUUAGCUAGUAGGUGGGGUAACGGCUCACCUAGGCGACGAUCCCUAGCUGGUCUGAGAGGAUGACCAGCCACACUGGAACUGAGACACGGUCCAGACUCCUACGGGAGGCAGCAGUGGGGAAUAUUGCACAAUGGGCGCAAGCCUGAUGCAGCCAUGCCGCGUGUAUGAAGAAGGCCUUCGGGUUGUAAAGUACUUUCAGCGGGGAGGAAGGGAGUAAAGUUAAUACCUUUGCUCAUUGACGUUACCCGCAGAAGAAGCACCGGCUAACUCCGUGCCA
rnacentral:rRNA from 1 species